rnacentral:misc_RNA from 1 species
GUUAUACUGAUUGUAACUUCCAAUUUUUUUUACAAAACGUUCCAAUGAAAAUUAAAAAAUAUCUUUUCGUACCUUUAAUGCAAUAAUAUGUGCAUUUUGAAGCAUGCCGAUUCAGGCUCCCUCAUGGACAGAUUUUCUGAACUGUCCCAUCUGCUGCAAUGAAUUUGCAGCCAGCCAGCGCUGCCCCGUCAGCCUCGGCUGCGGGCACACCAUAUGCAAGCUCUGUCUGACUACCCUCUACAACCGGCAGUGUCCCUUCGAUCAGACCGUGAUUGUCAGCGACAUCGACAAUCUGCCCGUUAACCAUGCCCUUCUACAGUUGGUCAAGGAUUCGGAACUGGUGGAGGUGGGGCCUCCGCCGCCCAGUGUCCAAAGUUUGGACAUUGAGCAACUCAAGUGCUACCAGCUGGGCCAGAGGUGCAUAGAGGAGCUGGCUCUGCACCUUAAGUCCUUUCAGAGCUUGAACGGAAACGGCAAUCUGCUGACACGUCCCAUGCAACGGAAGCUAGUGACCUUGGUGAACUGCCAGCUGAUGGAGGAGGAGGGAAGAGUUCGAGCACUCCGAGCAGCUCGGUCGCUGGGCGAAAGAACUGUCACUGAACUGAUUCUGCAGCACCAAAAUCCCCAGCAGCUGAGCUCCAAUCUGUGGGCAGCUGUGCGAACAAGAGGAUGUCAAUUCUUGGGACCCGCCAUGCAGGAGGAGGUGCUUAAGCUUGUUCUGCUGGCUUUGGAGGAAGGCUCCGCUCUGUCGCGAAAAGUUCUGGUGAUGUUCGUCGUGCAGCGACUGGAGCCACAGUUUCCCCAGGCCUCCAAAACCAGCAUUGGACAUGUGGUGCAAUUACUGUACCGGGCCAGUUGCUUCAAGGUCUCCAAAAGGGAAGCGGACUCAUCGCUGAUGCAGCUCAAGGAGGAGUUUCGAACGUACGAUGCUCUGCGGCGUGAACACGAUGCCCAGAUAGUUCAAAUAGCGACCGAGGCGGGUCUAAGAAUUGCUCCAGAACAAUGGUCUUCCUUGCUGUACGGCGACGUAAUGCACAAGAGCCACAUGCAGAGUAUAAUUGACAAGCUGCAGACGCCCAGUUCCUUUGCACAAUCGGUCCAGGAGCUAGUGAUCGCGCUGCAGCGCACUAGUGAUCCAGCCAAGCUGGCUAGCCUGCAUCAUCACCUCAAGUACCUGGCUAACAUCGAUCCCUGUGCAGAGGUGGCUCCCUGGCCGGAUUUAGCUGAAGCCCUGGAUGCAGUACGCCAUUCGGUGGUUGGGCUCGUAAACUUCCUUCAGCACCACGGCGUACGAAAGUCCCAGGACGGUAUCGGUGGUGGCGGAAACGGAGGAGCAGCCAACAGCAAUCCCAAGUACAAGAUAAGUCUGUGUAGAGACUUAAAUGUGAGGCGGGUGUGUCCCAGGGGAGCCAGCUGCACCUUUGCCCAUUCCCAGGAGGAAGUGGAGCGUUAUCGAGCGAGAAAUCGCGGUAAGCACAUGAAGACACCACUGGUACUGCAAGGACCACCCGCCAUGGUUGGCGGAGCGAUGAAAAAAACGAUGGGAGCGGAACAAGAAGGACAGGCGGGCUUGGGUGUUCCUCCGCCCAUGUUGCCGAUGUCGCCUAUGCAUUAUAUGGCGUCACCAAGAAGCUACAUCGAACCGAGCCUUGGACUUUCACCAGGAGGCGGUAUUCCACCACCCGGCCAUCCACCACUACUUCAUCCAUCGCACCAUACGCCGAUGAACCGACUUAUGGUACCCGGACGCUAUGAUCCGCGCUUCGCCGGCUACGGAGUGGGUCAACCAAGAAAUCCGUCGCCCAGGGAAUACCAAAAUAAUCCAGGAGCUCCACCACCUCCACCACCCCAACGCAAUGCCAACCCACCGAACUUCAGUGUGAAUAGCAGCUUGCACAAGGGCUAUAUGUUGCCCGGCGGAGAUUCUUUGUUCCAUUUAGGCCCGACACAUCCCUGGGAGCAUGGCUAUCCCCAUCCCCAUCAGCAGCAUCCUCCACAGCAGCAGCAGCAGCAACAGCAGCCGCCGCAGCUACCGUCCAGCAAGCCGAAUCCGAAUCCCAGCCGACCGUUGUCGAUUUUAGCCGCAACAGCUGAUACCUCAUUUUUUGAAAAGAAACCGCCGAAUAGUGUUAACUUGGAUGUGGACGCGGAUGUGACUGAUGUUGAUCCUUUGUCCCGCUUCCGGCGAUCCAACAUUAAUAACAGUAGUAACAAUAACAACAACAAUAGUAGUUCCCACAACAACAACCACAACAAUAAUAAUAAUCACGGCUCCUCACUGCUGUUUUGGAAUAAUUCGAGUAAGGAGUCUGCCAAUUUUGUGCGAUCUGAUUCCAUAUUGGAUGAUGACGCUACCACAUUCGACAUGCCCACCGGCUCCUCUAUGCACAGUCCCUAUGGUCCCAUUUGCCCGAAGAGCAGCACGACCAACAGCUGGAACAACUGGUUUCUGGGAAACGAUAUGAAGAGCAAUGCCGAGUUGCUGAGCGACAAAAACAGCGAUUUGGGAUAUGGGGGCUUCAAAAGCGACAGAAAUGAUAAUUACAAUGCCAACAAGCUGCAGCAGCCAAUAUGGGGCAGGAAGCCGCAGUUGAUGUCGGAGGACAGCUUCGAGGGUGGCAUCGAUAGCGGAAUGAUGCUGCAGUUGGAGAAGAACCUGGUGGACAUCGUUGACCCGGAUGAUAGUGGCAUUAAGGUGGACUAAGUGGCAGCCGGCCAGAGUAUAUGUCUAUAUAUGGGAUUAUAUAGAGUAAUAGAGAGAAAAAGAAAGUAUAUGUAUAAUGCAAUCAUUUUACACAUCGUUAGAGCCAAAAACACAAGGAGGAUGAUGCGGAAGCACUUUCGAUAUCUGGAGUUGUUCAAAAUUGUAGAGCGGUGAUGAUUUUUUACAAGGAACUGUACUCUAAUUAUUUGAAUCUUGAUCACAAGACUUUAAACUCAAAUUGUAAUUUAAAUUAUAAUUAAUUGUGUGUUUGUCAUCUCCCCCAUCCCAUCCCCCCCCGAUUAGUUGUGAUCAAAUUUUUUGGUUCAUUUUCUAACGCUGUACACAUAGAUAUAUUAUUAUAUAUAUACAUACAAAAUAU